AUGUUGAUGAUGGGCAUGUUGAGCUCCUCCCUAAAUUAGGAGAACUGAGGUUGAUUGGUCUACCAAAGUUGAGGCAUAUAUGCAACUGUGGCAGCUCCAGAAAUCAUUUCCCUUCUUCCAUGGCUUCUGCUCCUGUAGGCAAUAUCAUAUUCCAUAAAUUAAGCGAUAUUAAACUGGUAUCUUUGCCCAACCUCACAAGCUUCGUCUCCCCUGGAUAUCAUUCCCUCCAAAGGCUUCACCAUGCAGACCUUGAUACCCCCUUCCCGGUGCUCUUUGAUGAAAGGGUUGCAUUUCCUAGCUUGAAUUUCUUAAACAUCUCGGGACUGGAUAAUGU